GAAACUGCGAUGAAACCAUCUCGUGGCAUGAGAAAGCUAGACAAUUGCUGCAAGAACAGGAUCGCUCAUCUCGAAGAGACGGACUCGUUGCUACAAAUUUGCAUUACUUGUCUCGCGACCUUGACGAGAAAGGAUGUUAUGAAGAAGCUAUAAAGCUGUGUUUGGAAGCAAUAGAAAUGGAACAAGAGAGUCAUUCUCCAAAUCAUCUUCAUAUUGCAAUUUAUAUGAUAAGCUUAGGUUCGUAUGAAAUCAAGGCCGCAAGACUUGAAUCGUCUAUAACCCAUUUGCAAUCUUCCUUGUCAGUUUUGAAAGACA